rnacentral:rRNA from 1 species
UUGUUGGUUUGUCACAGCCAAGGUAAUGACUAAGGGAGACAGUCGGGGGCAUYUGUACUGCAGCGCUAGAGGUGAAAUUCUUGGACCGUUGCAAGACAAACAACAGCGAAAGCAUUUGCCAAGUAUGUUUUCAUUAAUCAAGAACGAAAGUUAGAGGUUYGAAGGCGAUCAGAUACCGCCCUAGUUCUAACCAUAAACGAUGCCAACCAGCAAUCUAUCAAGUGUUAUAUCCAUGACCUGAUAGGCAGCUUCUGGGAAACCAAAGUCUUUGGGUUCCGGGGGAAGUAUGGUUGCAAAGCUGAAACUUAAAGGAAUUGACGGAAGGGCACCACCAGGAGUGGAGCCUGCGGCUUWAUUUGACUCAACACGGGGAACCUCACCAGGCCCAGACACCGGAAGGAUUGACAGAAUGAGAGCUCUUUCUCGAUUCGGUGGGUGGUGGUGCAUGGCCGUUCUUAGUUGGUGGAGUGAUUUGUCUGGUUAAUUC